ACGGGUGAGUAACGCGUGGGAACGUGCCCUUCGGUUCGGAAUAACUCAGGGAAACUUGAGCUAGUACCGGAUACGCCCUUUUGGGGAAAGGUUUGACUGCCGAAGGAUCGGCCCGCGUCUGAUUAGCUAGUUGGUGAGGUUACGGCUCACCAAGGCGACGAUCAGUAGCUGGUCUGAGAGGAUGAUCAGCCACACUGGGACUGAGACACGGCCCAGACUCCUACGGGAGGCAGCAGUGGGGAAUAUUGGACAAUGGGGGCAACCCUGAUCCAGCCAUGCCGCGUGAGUGAUGACGGCCUUAGGGUUGUAAAGCUCUUUUCUCCGGGACGAUAAUGACGGUACCGGAGGAAUAAGCCCCGGCUAACUUCGUGCCAGCAGCCGCGGUAAUACGAAGGGGGCUAGCGUUGCUCGGAAUCACUGGGCGUAAAGGGCGCGUAGGCGGCUGAUUUAGUCGAGGGUGAAAGCCCGUGGCUCAACCACGGAAUGGCCUUCGAUACUGGUUGGCUUGAGACCGGAAGAGGACAGCGGAACUGCGAGUGUAGAGGUGAAAUUCGUAGA
rnacentral:rRNA from 1 species